rnacentral:rRNA from 1 species
GAUUGAACGCUGGCGGCAUGCCUAACACAUGCAAGUCGAACGGCAGCAUGGUCUAGCUUGCUAGACUGAUGGCGAGUGGCGAACGGGUGAGUAAUACGUAGGAAUAUGCCUUAAAGAGGGGGACAACUCGGGGAAACCCGAGCUAAUACCGCAUAAUCUCUGAGGAGAGAAGCUGGGGACCUUCGGGCCUGGCGCUUUAAGAUUAGCCUACGUCCGAUUAGCUAGUUGGUAGGGUAAAGGCCUACCAAGGCGACGAUCGGUAGCUGGUCUGAGAGGAUGAUCAGCCACACUGGGACUGAGACACGGCCCAGACUCCUACGGGAGGCAGCAGUGGGGAAUAUUGGACAAUGGGGGCAACCCUGAUCCAGCAAUGCCGCGUGUGUGAAGAAGGCCUGAGGGUUGUAAAGCACUUUCAGUGGGGAGGAGGCUUGAUAGGUUAAGAGCUGAUUAAGUGGACGUUACCCACAGAAGAAGCACCGGCUAACUCCGUGCCAGCAGCCGCGGUAAUACGGAGGGUGCGAGCGUUAAUCGGAAUUACUGGGCGUAAAGGGUGCGUAGGUGGUUUGGUAAGUUAUCUGUGAAAUUCCUGGGCUUAACCUGGGGUGGUCAGAUAAAACUGCUGGACUCGAGUAUGGGAGAGGGUAGUGGAAUUUCCGGUGUAGCGGUGAAAUGCGUAGAG